UUUUUCUGCUAGGGGAGCCAUAGGCUGAGAGAUAUCAUUGAUUGAAACCCUUUGUACCUGAUCCGGAUUAUACCGGCGUAGGGAAGCGGUCUAAAUAGCUA
rnacentral:ncRNA from 2 species